rnacentral:rRNA from 1 species
UUAAGUUAGAAAGGGCGCACGGUGGAUGCCUUGACACUAGGAGUCGAUGAAGGACGGGACUAACGCCGAUAUGCUUCGGGGAGCUGUAAGUAAGCUUUGAUCCGAAGAUUUCCGAAUGGGGAAACCCACCAUACGUAAUGGUAUGGUAUCCUUAUCUGAAUACAUAGGGUAAGGAAGACAGACCCAGGGAACUGAAACAUCUAAGUACCUGGAGGAAGAGAAAGCAAAUGCGAUUUCCUGAGUAGCGGCGAGCGAAACGGAACAUAGCCCAAACCAAGAGGCUUGCCUCUUGGGGUUGUAGGACAUUCUAUACGGAGUUACAAAGGAACGAGGUAGACGAAGCGACCUGGAAAGGUCCGUCGUAGAGGGUAACAACCCCGUAGUCGAAACUUCGUUCUCUCUUGAAUGUAUCCUGAGUACGGCGGAACACGUGAAAUUCCGUCGGAAUCUGGGAGGACCAUCUCCCAAGGCUAAAUACUCCCUAGUGAUCGAUAGUGAACCAGUACCGUGAGGGAAAGGUGAAAAGCACCCCGGAAGGGGAGUGAAAGAGAUCCUGAAACCGUGUGCCUACAAAUAGUCAGAGCCCGUUAAUGGGUGAUGGCGUGCCUUUUGUAGAAUGAACCGGCGAGUUACGAUCCCGUGCGAGGUUAAGCUGAAGAGGCGGAGCCGCAGCGAAAGCGAGUCUGAAUAGGGCGUUUAGUACGUGGUCGUAGACCCGAAACCAGGUGAUCUACCCAUGUCCAGGGUGAAGUUCAGGUAACACUGAAUGGAGGCCCGAACCCACGCACGUUGAAAAGUGCGGGGAUGAGGUGUGGGUAGCGGAGAAAUUCCAAUCGAACCUGGAGAUAGCUGGUUCUCCCCGAAAUAGCUUUAGGGCUAGCCUUAAGUGUAAGAGUCUUGGAGGUAGAGCACUGAUUGGACUAGGGGUCCUCAUCGGAUUACCGAAUUCAGUCAAACUCCGAAUGCCAAUGACUUAUCCUUAGGAGUCAGACUGCGAGUGAUAAGAUCCGUAGUCAAAAGGGAAACAGCCCAGACCGCCAGCUAAGGUCCCAAAGUGUGUAUUAAGUGGAAAAGGAUGUGGAGUUGCUUAGACAACUAGGAUGUUGGCUUAGAAGCAGCCACCAUUUAAAGAGUGCGUAAUAGCUCACUAGUCGAGUGACUCUGCGCCGAAAAUGUACCGGGGCUAAAUACACCACCGAAGCUGCGGAUUGAUACCAAUGGUAUCAGUGGUAGGGGAGCGUUCUAAGGACAGUGAAGUCAGACCGGAAGGACUGGUGGAGUGCUUAGAAGUGAGAAUGCCGGUAUGAGUAGCGAAAGACGGGUGAGAAUCCCGUCCACCGAAUGCCUAAGGUUUCCUGAGGAAGGCUCGUCCGCUCAGGGUUAGUCAGGACCUAAGCCGAGGCCGACAGGCGUAGGCGAUGGACAACAGGUUGAUAUUCCUGUACCACCUCUUUAUCGUUUGAGCAAUGGAGGGACGCAGAAGGAUAGAAGAAGCGUGCGAUUGGUUGUGCACGUCCAAGCAGUUAGGCUGAUAAGUAGGCAAAUCCGCUUAUCGUAAAGGCUGAGCUGUGAUGGGGAAGCUCCUUAUGGAGCGAAGUCUUUGAUUCCCCGCUGCCAAGAAAAGCUUCUAGCGAGAUAAAAGGUGCCUGUACCGCAAACCGACACAGGUAGGCGAGGAGAGAAUCCUAAGGUGUGCGAGAGAACUCUGGUUAAGGAACUCGGCAAAAUGACCCCGUAACUUCGGGAGAAGGGGUGCUUUCUUAACGGAAAGCCGCAGUGAAUAGGCCCAAGCGACUGUUUAGCAAAAACACAGCUCUCUGCGAAGCCGUAAGGCGAAGUAUAGGGGGUGACACCUGCCCGGUGCUGGAAGGUUAAGGAGAGGGGUUAGCGUAAGCGAAGCUCUGAACUGAAGCCCCAGUAAACGGCGGCCGUAACUAUAACGGUCCUAAGGUAGCGAAAUUCCUUGUCGGGUAAGUUCCGACCCGCACGAAAGGUGUAACGAUUUGGGCACUGUCUCAACCAGAGACUCGGUGAAAUUAUAGUACCUGUGAAGAUGCAGGUUACCCGCGACAGGACGGAAAGACCCCGUGGAGCUUUACUGUAGCCUGAUAUUGAAUUUUGAUACAGUUUGUACAGGAUAGGCGGGAGCCAUUGAAACCGGAGCGCUAGCUUCGGUGGAGGCGCUGGUGGGAUACCGCCCUGACUGUAUUGAAAUUCUAACCUACGGGUCUUAUCGACCCGGGAGACAGUGUCAGGUGGGCAGUUUGACUGGGGCGGUCGCCUCCUAAAGUGUAACGGAGGCGCCCAAAGGUUCCCUCAGAAUGGUUGGAAAUCAUUCGUAGAGUGCAAAGGCAUAAGGGAGCUUGACUGCGAGACCUACAAGUCGAGCAGGGACGAAAGUCGGGCUUAGUGAUCCGGUGGUUCCGCAUGGAAGGGCCAUCGCUCAACGGAUAAAAGCUACCCCGGGGAUAACAGGCUUAUCUCCCCCAAGAGUCCACAUCGACGGGGAGGUUUGGCACCUCGAUGUCGGCUCAUCGCAUCCUGGGGCUGUAGUCGGUCCCAAGGGUUGGGCUGUUCGCCCAUUAAAGCGGUACGCGAGCUGGGUUCAGAACGUCGUGAGACAGUUCGGUCCCUAUCCGUCGUGGGCGUAGGAAAUUUGAGAGGAGCUGUCCUUAGUACGAGAGGACCGGGAUGGACGCACCGCUGGUGUACCAGUUGUUCUGCCAAGGGCAUAGCUGGGUAGCUAUGUGCGGAAGGGAUAAGUGCUGAAAGCAUCUAAGCAUGAAGCCCCCCUCAAGAUGAGAUUUCCCAUAGCGUAAGCUAGUAAGAUCCCUGAAAGAUGAUCAGGUUGAUAGGUUCGAGGUGGAAGCAUGGUGACAUGUGGAGCUGACGAAUACUAAUAGAUCGAGGACUUAACC